rnacentral:rRNA from 1 species
UACGUAGGGUCCGAGCGUUGUCCGGAAUUACUGGGCGUAAAGAGCUCGUAGGUGGUUUGUCGCGUUGUUCGUGAAAACUCACAGCUCAACUGUGGGCGUGCGGGCGAUACGGGCAGACUGGAGUACUGCAGGGGAGACUGGAAUUCCUGGUGUAGCGGUGGAAUGCGCAGAUAUCAGGAGGAACACCGGUGGCGAAGGCGGAUCUCUGGGCCGAUACUGACGCUGAGGAGCGAAAGCGUGGGGAGCGAACAGG